ensembl:lncRNA
CGUGUAUAACUACAACCAGUUAGGAGGUUGGACAUUUCCGAGUUUCGACAAGCACUUGGACGCGGCACCAGCUAGCCAACGUCGCCAUGACAUCGCCUACAAGCGUGAUCAGAUGUGUUUCCUUCCUGAAAGUCAGAAAGCAGUACUUCUCCUCUUUUCCAACCCCAGUCUGACGCACAUGCGUCCUCCAGGGAAGUGGGGAAGUGGGGAGGUGGGGAGGGCAAACAGAAAAAGAUUGGGUUUCAAUAACUUUAUCCAUGGCAUAGACACACAUGUACAGAGCACAUGAUUCGGAGUUCUUCUGUUGAAGUCUAUCAUAAUGUCAUGCUGAUCUGGCACUGGUGUAUAA